CCCUUAGAUGUUCGGGGCCGCACGCGCGCUACACUGAAGGAAUCAGCACGUCUUUCUCCUUGUCCGAAAGGACUGGGUAACCCGCUGAACCUCCUUCGUGCUAGGGAUUGGGGCUUGUAAUUCUUCCCCAUGAACGAGGAAUUCCCAGUAAGCGCGAGUCAUAAGCUCGCGUUGAUUACGUCCCUGCCCUUUGUACACACCGCCCGUCGCUACUACCGAUUGAAUGGUUUAGUGAGACCCUCGGAUUCGUCCCAGCACAGUGGGUUUCUGCUGAGCUGGUGCGCGGAGAAGACGGUCGAACUUGAUCAUUUAGAGGAAGUAAAAGUUGUAACA
rnacentral:rRNA from 1 species